rnacentral:tRNA from 11 species
CCGUCCCGGGAUUUGAACCCUGGACAUCUGACAUGCGAAGCGAGCGCGUUACCACUACUCUACCAACG